rnacentral:rRNA from 1 species
AGCGAACGCUGGCGGCAGGCCUAACACAUGCAAGUCGAACGAAGUCUUCGGACUUAGUGGCGGACGGAUGAGUAACACGUGGGAACGUACCUUUUGGUUCGGAACAACUCAGGGAAACUUGAGCUAAUACCGGAUGAGCCCUUAGGGGGAAAGAUUUAUCGCCGAAAGAGCGGCCCGCGUUAGAUUAGCUAGUUGGUGAGGUAAAGGCUCACCAAGGCUACGAUCUAUAGCUGGUCUGAGAGGAUGAUCAGCCACACUGGGACUGAGACACGGCCCAGACUCCUACGGGAGGCAGCAGUGGAGAAUCUUGCGCAAUGGGCGAAAGCCUGACGCAGCCAUGCCGCGUGAAUGAUGAAGGUCUUAGGAUUGUAAAAUUCUUUUACCAGGGACGAUAAUGACGGUACCUGGAGAAAAAGCCCCGGCUAACUUCGUGCCAGCCGCCGCAGUAAAAC